rnacentral:rRNA from 1 species
AUUGAACGCUGGCGGCAUGCCUUACACAUGCAAGUCGAACGGCAGCACGGGUGCUUGCACCUGUUGGCGAGUGGCGAACGGGUGAGUAAUACAUCGGAACAUGUCCUGUAGUGGGGGAUAGCCCGGCGAAAGCCGGAUUAAUACCGCAUACGAUCUACGGAUGAAAGCGGGGGCCCUUCGGGCCUCGCGCUAUAGGGUUGGCCGAUGGCUGAUUAGCUAGUUGGUGGGGUAAAGGCCUACCAAGGCGACGAUCAGUAGCUGGUCUGAGAGGACGACCAGCCACACUGGAACUGAGACACGGCCCAGACUCCUACGGGAGGCAGCAGUGGGGAAUUUUGGACAAUGGGCGAAAGCCUGAUCCAGCAAUGCCGCGUGUGUGAAGAAGGCCUUCGGGUUGUAAAGCACUUUUGUCCGGAAAGAAAUCCUUGGCCCUAAUACGGUCGGGGGAUGACGGUACCGGAAGAAUAAGCACCGGCUAACUACGUG